UCCCUGUUAGCUCAACUGGUAAAGAAUCUGCCUGCAAUGCAGGAGACCCUGGUUCGAUUUCUGGGUUGGGAU
rnacentral:tRNA from 1 species